UAAUUGAAUGGCAUCUAUUUAAUUAUUAAAGUCACAACGGUAUAAGAUGAGCAUGCGUCCCAUUAGUUAGUUGGUAAGGUAACGGCUUACCAAGACAAUGAUGGGUAGGGGUCCUGAGAGGGAGAUCCCCCACACUGGUACUGAGACACGGACCAGACUCCUACGGGAGGCAGCAGUGAGGAAUAUUGGUCAAUGGACGCAAGUCUGAACCAGCCAUGCCGCGUGCAGGAUGACGGUCCUAUGGAUUGUAAACUGCUUUUGUACGAGAAGAAACAACAUUACGUGUAAUGUCUUGACGGUAUCGUAAGAAUAAGGAUCGGCUAACUCCGUG
rnacentral:rRNA from 1 species